AUGUGACGCUGUAAAAUGAGCUGUCUCUGUCUCCUGAACGAGUUGAGCGGUUGCUCAUUGGUCGGUUGCUCAUUGGUCGGUUGCUCAUUGGUCGGUUGCUCAUUGGUCGGUUGCUCAUUGGUCGGUGGCUCAUUGGUCGGUUGCUCAUUGGUCGGUUGCUCAUUGGUCGGUGGCUCAUUGGUCGGUUGCUCAUUGGUCGGUUGCUCAUUGGUCGGUUGCUCAUUGGUCGGUUGCUCAUUGGUCGGUGGCUCAUUGGUCGGUGGCUCAUCGGUCGGUUACCGGAGUAAAGAGAUGAUGGCGCUUCCUGCUGGCCCGAUCGCUAGCGUCUCUGCUAACGCUGCCCAAUGGGCCGAACUCCAUCGUUCCUGCUUCUGCAGUGAAACAGGAGCUUCCCAGUGUGCGUGUGUGACAGGAAGGCUGCUCUCUCUCUCCCCCCCUCGCUUCACCUCGCUGCCUGACACCUAAUUCCUCACUCUAACUCAGCGGGCGCCGGUUGCACCUAUUGUUUCUCUGGUUCCCUUUUUAGACGUUCCCAUAUGGGACGAACUGUUCUCCUGCUUCGAGUUUGAAACGCCGUCGUUCCAGGUCACAACGAAAAGAAAGAAAACAGAAUGAGGAGCGAGACAGAAGAGGCACAAACACAUUCAUCCAGGAUCUGUUUUCCCUCAGAUAAACACACACGCAUGGAUGGAACACAGACCAACAAACAGCCGAGCUGCUGAUCUCAAACAAAGGCCUCGACCUUAUCAGCUGCACCACCAGCCGAGCCAGAACCAGCUGACGACGGGCUCCCAGGGCUCAGCGGAGCUCCUGGUUCCACGCGGCCCAGCGAGACCAGGGUUCACAUCAAACGCGAGCACAAACGAGCUUCAUCCUGGAAGAAGCUUCUGAGGAGGAGCCUUGAAGGAAACGGCGCCGGCGGUGACAGUUUGACAGGAGACGCCUGCGUCGGCAUCAGCUGACGCGUGUUUGACAGCCACAGCCGAGCGGAGACGCGUGACAGAACCGGCGCUUCCUCCAGACGCUGAUGUGGGCCGCGCUCGCUUUCUUCUGCUCUCACAUUAAAAUCAUCUGCUGACAAGUUACUCUCUGCAGAUUGAGUUACGUCUGAGAGGCAAAACGCGCGUGUGCUGGAAUCUGUUCAUUCCUAGUUUCAUGGUUUGAGUCAUAAUUUAAUAAUAGUAUAAUAGAUACAUUAGAAUAACAUUACCAAUUAUGUGCAAAGAAAAACCUGCAGAGCGACUGAUAACCACUAAAAGCAGCUGAUGUUACUGAGACAAACGUGACAACAGUAGAAAUAAACUUGCAGUUCAUUUGGA